GAGGAGGCUGCUUAGUUUACAUUUAUGUUUUUGUUUUUUUUAUCUUUUGUAAUGAACACCCUUAUCGAUGAAAUGGAUUUCUUCUUCAUCUUCUGAUGUGUCUGUUCGAUGUGCUUGGUCUCUUAUUUUCCUAAAUCUGGAGGUUGUGGUAUGAGUAGCUCGACUUGGAGCAUGUUAGCUUAGACUUGUAUGCAAGGUGGAUUUGAUGUAGAGGUCAUCAGUUUGGAUAAGUAUCUGA
rnacentral:lncRNA from 1 species